GUAAGAGGCGAUUGCAUUUUACCAACUUUUCAUACAAAUAUUAAAAAACUAAAAUAUUUAGUACUCGCUUAAGUUUGCAUUGGUCUUGAGAUUGGCUUUUUUUUAUUUUAUAAUAUUUCCCACUGGGUACAUAUAUGAAGGACAAAUGGAGAUAGGCCUAUGUACUCUUAUGUACUUUACCCCUGUCGAUGGUACAAACAGAGACUUUCCAUAUACUGAUGACGAUUGUAAAUCAAAGUAAUAGACCUCCUUGUUCGUCAGUUUCUGGCAGUCAAGGUGCCACACUAGAAUGUAAAUUUAACAGUGAUACUGAUGUGACUGGGACUGCUAAAACUUUGUUAAAAUCAAUAAAAUCUGCUUUGACCAUACAA